AACACAAUUAACAUUCGAAAGUCAACUGGACACCGGUACAGAGUGAUAUACAAAUUUGCUUGCCUAGCAGACAAAAACACUGGACUCGGAUGUCGGGCAAUGGGUUAUUUCCACCCCUGGUAAUCAUCAAAUCUGAUAGUACAGACUACUACACUGUUUGAUUACUUUACAGGAACCUUGUGUAACCUGAAUAAUAAUUGGGGGUCCUCUGGACACCAUUUUGUAAAACCCUUGUACAGAUGGAUUUUUUGGUUUUACUAGUUUCUGAAUUGCAUUUGUGAAUCUAUUUAGAUCCUGAAACCUCACUGGGGUCAGGAAGGCGAGGUCUGAAAAACACUAACCACUCAACCCAGUUUUCUUUGACAUGAUAUAUUUGAAAAUAUUUGAAGGUGACAAUGUUUCGAAAUUACUGAUAGCAUUUGGUAGUAUGAUUUCAGUUAACCAAAGUAUUGAUAUCUGAUAUCUUUGCUCUAAAUUAGAUGCUUAAAAAAUAUUUAAUUUAAUUAAGAAUCAUCGUAGAUUGAAAACUAGAUACACCUGAAAAGUUUUGUGUUAUUUACUAAAUAGGAAGGUGUGUGGGAACAAGGCUGAACUUGUUAGACCAUAAAGCAUUGCAAGUACUGAUGUUAGAUGUUAAUGAGGGUCCUGGGGUCCUGUAGGGGUGCUGCUAUGUUAAUUUUAACAUGGAUUUGGCUUUGCUUGUUCUUGGACUGUGAUCUUAUGACUGUGAUUGUUGUAAGUCUGUUAAACUAUAGGCAUUACAUUCAUCUUAGUUCUAAUAUCCCUGGGGCGGAGGGGUAGCCUGAUGGUUAAAGCGUUCGCUUGUCAUCCCGAAGACCUGGGUUCGAUUCCCCACAUGAGUACAAUGUGUGAAGCUCAUUUCUGGUGUCCCCCGCCGUGAUAUUGCUGGAAUAUUGCUAAAAGUGGCGUAAGACCAAACUCACUCACUCUAAUAUCCCUUUGUGGAACGGAACACUGGGUGUGAUACUGUGCUAGUCUUCUUUAAUGACGAGAAUUAAGCAAUCUUAGUGCUAAGGUGAUUAUAACUUCAGUGUGUACCCCACACUAACAGCAAUCAAAUCUCUUUCAAUCAGUGAUAGUGAAACAAGGCUUUCAUCUAAGCAUCCGCAUUCUUUGUGUAAGUAACCUUGAUAAUAUUGUCAUUGUCGGCAAGCAAGUUAUCAGUUAGAUAGACAACCCUGGCUACAUGUUAAUCUUCCAAACUAUUUCUUUGUGUCUUCAAAACACACUGCUUAAAAACAUCUCGUUCCAAAUCAUAAAACAACAGAGACAUACAGACUGUAUAUUUCCUCACACCCAAUAUGGAAUAAUCUGUUUCUUCAAUAUUCACUAUAGCCUGAAUGUUUUAACGACAACAUUUCACUUCUACUACUCUGAUUAUUCUUAAUUUUGGUUAUCAUGGUAUUAACCUUAGUUUUCUACCUGGGGCGGUGGCUAGCCUAGUGGUUAAAGCAUUCGCUCAUCAAGGCGAAGACCUGGGUUUGAUUCCCCACAUUGGUACAAUGUGUGAAGCCCAUUUCUGAUGUUCCCGUUGUGAUAUUGCUGGCAUAUUGCUAAAAGCAGCAUAAAACUAAACUCACUCACUCACUCUAGCCUGAUUAUUCUUAAUUUUGUUUACCACGGUGAUAACCUUAGUUUUUUACCCUGUUUAUAUUGCACUGAUGAGCGACCAUGCCUGCCAUCAGCUUAAUGAAGUGCAGUAUCGACUUGGUGGAAUUUACAAAGUAGUUCGUAUUCUUAUUUUUACAGCUUUAUUACCUACUGAGAUUUGUAUCUGUGUGCUGGUUAGGAAAUAUUAUAAUGAAGUGCUAUAUUUAGUUCUCAUUUUGAAUAAAAAAAUUCUCGUGUUUUAUUUACUUUUUGGAUAUGGACUCGUUUUUCUGCAUUUCUCUUUACAUGUGAAGCUAAAAUUAAGUGGUCUUCACAUAGUAAAGCAUGACUUACUACUGAUUGUGGAUCGGAGUAUCAGUGAGAUAUGAUUUGUAUUGGAUAGUGCUCAACUGGUUGAUAGAUUGCAGUAGUUGUAAAUCAACUUGCCAUCGGAACUUUUGUUUGGGUUAUAUGACAGGAAAAAGGGGCCCAUUGAAGGUGUAGAGCUUUGAUACAAGGCAUCCUUGAGCCUGUAUUAUCACAAUGUAAAUUUAAAUGGACGCUUAGCUUCAGUUCCCGGGAUUAAAUCCGAGUCAUUUAGCUUCUCUGGGAGUGGACUGUUCGUAAUGUCAUGCUUUGACUAGACUGAUUUUCAUUGCGAUUUUUGCCAGAAAUUUGGCUUAACUUAGCUUUGUCAUGUGAAUGGGAAAGGAGGCCCUUUAAGGGUUUGUUUAUCAGUUACUUCAAAGUAAAUAUUAUUAUUUGUUGUACCAGUUGAGCACAGACUCACGUUUAGUGAGUGUCAAAAAGAUAAAGGUUUAACUGUGUGUCUUUUGUAAUAGGAUUAAUUGGUUUUCCAUUUAAUUUGAAUAACAUUGCCAAGCCUGAGAUAAUUGUUUUUCUAGUCUAUUCUUUUUGUUACAUUGAUGACCUCAGGGUGUGAAAAUAUUGUGUUAUUAAGUAGCAAGAUGUCAACUUGUUUUAUGGUGCUGUUUUCUGUAGGACAUGAUAGAGGCCCUGUGGCAUUUAUGACAGGGAUUACCUAAAUGGAUAAUCCUUCAGCUUAUUAGGUUCAGUACUAGAUUAUAUCUUCAUUGUCUGAUUUUGACAUGUGCCAGUAUAUACAGGGAUAUACUGCUUCUUAGUCUAAAUAAGAUUGCCUGUUGGAUAACUUUUUCCAGUGAACCCAGAGUUCUUUCCCUAAAGCUAAGGAAGGAAAAGACAACAUUAUUCAGUGGUAUAAUUGGGUUAUAGUUUUAGCAUUGUUUUUGUUUAUUAGUGGUAUCUAGGGGCCGAAAUAUAACCUGUAUAUUUCUGUAAGUGCCUGAGAGCUAAAAAUAUUAUUUGAUAUAUCAUAGCAGUAAGGAGUAUGUCGUUAGAAAAUAGAUUCAUUACUCUCAUGGUUAGUUGCAAAUUCGGCAGUAUCUUGUUUAAUUUACUGGGCUUCCAGUUUUCUGUGUAUUCCCCAGGGAGUUGAGAAUGAUGAAGAGCACAUGUGUUACGAACAUACCAACAGGCAAAACAAUGCACUCUUACAUAAUGUAUUUGUUAUUAUUGUUGUAUGUAAGUCUGAGGUAACCUACCGUCAUAGUGAGCAAGCAGUCGUGAAGAAUUUCGACCCACCACAAAGAAACUAGACUAUCUUUCAAACCUGUUUGCAGUGUACUUAUUGAGUCAAGUCGUACCAGAAUCACUACUUUGCAAUAUAUGAAAAUAUAGAUCUGAUAAAAUAUCAAUCUUUUUGUCAUAUCUUGACUUAGGCAAAAUUCCUACCACUACCGCAAGCAUUAGCAUUUAUAAACUGUCUUCAUUUCUUUCAAGAAUCAAUGUAUGUUAUUAUGAUAUUGUAAAAAUGCUGAUGUUUGUUCUUUGAAAACCAAAUUCUCUCAGUCUUAUGCCUGUUGCCUGGGUUCUGAUACAGAUGAGAGUUUGAGGACAAAGUGUCUAGUGGUAUAUUUUUUUUUUUGUUUUGUUUUUGAGAAUUAUAAAAUUAUUUGUUAUUGUAAUUACGGACCAACAUAUUGUAGAAUGUCCCAUACCAGUAUAAUCAAAAGUGCUGUGGUUGAAAAUGUGUUUACAUGAUUUUUGUGUGUUUAACAAACAAUAUUUAACCUGCAAUCAAAACUGAAUAAAGUUACAGUACAUUUAUAUAUUAUCCUGUACCUUUUGGCAUAUAGACUGUGAAACAGGUAAUGCUGAAAUUAAAUUUGUUCCGACCUUAUACAUAUAAUAAUGUAAAUGGAGAAUUAUAACUGUAGUUUUUGCUGAAGUUAGUUCACAACCAGCUUCUAACGUAUUUAGUGCUAGAUCCCUCUAUAGGAUAGUUGAUGUGUACUGUUAUGUAAUUAAAAUGAAAUCUUUAGAUAAUGACAUAUAUGUCAUAAUAGACAUAUUUUUAAAGAUGACAGAGACCUCAGGAGAGUGACACUGUGGAUUAUUUGUGUUUUGUAUGCUAUGAAAGUAAUGAUGUUGAUACAUUGUACAGUGAUGUAGUCCGUUACUUUGUUAUCUGUAUAUUGAACCUCACUCAAGCACCUGUCUUACAUUCAGUGCACAUCCAAAUUUAAAUAUUUUUUAAAACAAAAUCUGCAAGGUGUGCCUCAGUCUGUGAUAAAUUUGUGUAGAUAUUCUAGUCCCACCUGAGCUAUUUUUUGUGUAUUCAUUUUCUGAAACGUCCACUUUUAAGUCUGACAGUGCUGUGUUAUUUUGUAGCCUGUUUCUAGGCCCUAUUGUUUGCAAUGUCAAGACGCAAUAGUAAUGUGAUGCUGUAUGUGUAUUGUAUAUCUUCAGUAUAUAUUUGUACUAUAGAAUUUGGGGUAAACCAUCUUCAGAAUAUGUGGUUCCUUUGUUGGUUGGUUGGUUGUUUAAUGCCGCACUCAGCAAUAUUACAGCUAUAUGGCGGCGGUCUGUAAAUAAUGGAGUCUGGACCAGAGAAUCCAUUGACAGUUCCUUUAUACACCAAUACAUGAACUUCCAAUUUUGUUGCCAUAGUUUCAAGAGUAGACAUUCAGUUGCUUCAAGAAAUUGGAUAGUCAUGCUGAGUGGAUUUACAUUUCUCAUUACCCAUGUUUCACAAAAAAUACAGUUAAAAUGUAGCAAAAUGGGGUCGAGUGAUUCUUCUUUCAGAAACAGCAGUAAUCUAGACUUACCAACUAUUCUAGACUUGCAUGGGCUCCUUAGACUUUUUUAUGAUCUGUAGCAGACUUAUAGGUGGCCAACUUUUAGCUUAAAGGGACAAAUAGGUGGCCAACUUUUAGCUUAAAGGGACAAAUAGGUGGCCAAUAGACUUUUUUAUAAUCUGUAUUGCAGACUUAUAGGUGGCCAACUUUUAGCUAAAAGCGACCAAUAGGUGGCUAACUUUUAGCUAAAAACGACCAAUAGGUGGCCAACUUUUAGCUAAAAGCGCUCAGUAGGUGGUCAACUUUUAGCUAAAAGCGACCAAUAGGUGGCUAACUUUUAGCUAAAAACUACCAAUAGGUGGCAAACCUUUAGCUAAAAGCGCUCAGUAUGUGGCCAACUUUUAGCUAAAAGCGACCAAUAGGUGGCCAACUUUCAGCUAAAAGCGACCAAUUAGGUGGCCAGCCUCUGCCAAACUUGAACUCUACCAGCAAACUAAGGUGACACAGCUACCUUCUUGUUUCUGAAUAUGGUUUACCAGAGGUUAGUCCCAGCACUGUGUGUUACAAUCAGUUUGAUUCUUUGUAUGCAUUUAUAGAGGAAUACUGUCUCCAGAUCUAUUGUUUUGUUCAUUGUAAUAUUGUUUAUUUUGUACUGUUAGUCAUUCUUGCUCAAGGCAGAUAUAUGUGCAUUUUGUAGUUCUAGAUAAUUAUAGUCAUGGUGUAAUAACAUAUAGCUGAUGUUCAGUGGAACACAUCUGUCUGAAUGGAACUCAAAUCUUGAAAGGAAGUGAUUCCCUGCUGUGAAGUUCUGAAAUGACAUUCUCAUGUAGUGAGCAUCAUAUACAACUGAACAAAGUUAUUUGUCACAGAUUUGUUUCAUCUUACACAGCUUGACAGACUUGUAGUAAUAGGAAAGAACUGUGUGAUCCUGAACUGACUGAUUAGUAUGUGUUGAUGCUAAAUCAAAACAACUUCACCCUUUGUGAAGACUUCAAUCUGAGGUUGCUUCAGGUGAACUUUAAUCAACCAGUGAGCAUUGAGGCUUGUAAAGUGCCAUCAGAGCUUUCAGAACAGCACAUCUGAUUUCAGUAUCUCACAAAUAUAUAUAUACAUGCAGGCAUUCCAAACUGAAAUAUUACAAAGGUCUUUGCUUUGUUUUAUAAACCCUAUUGUUUCCUAUGGCAUCUUCACCCAUGAAUAGGGGUGGUGGGGUAGCCUAAUGGUUAAAGCGUUGGCUCGUCACGCCGAAGACCCGGUUCGAAUCCCCACAUGGGUACAAUGUGUGAAGCCCAUUUCAGGUGUACCCCCGCCAUGAUGUUGCUGGAAUAUUGCUAAAAGCGGCGUAAAACCAAACUCAGUCAGUCAGUCAGUCACCCAUGAAUAUGCUCGAUGAAAGAAAUAUUUAUCUUCUGUAUGGGUUUUCUUUUCUGAAAUUAGUUUCAUAAUCAAGGUGGCACAGAAAUGAAAGUCAUUUAUAAAGCUGAUAACGUAUUGGCUCAAUAAUUAGAUUGUGCGGUCAAAAUUUGCUCAUGGUCCACCUGGUGUGACUUCUUAUUAAAGUGGUUUUGCCGACACUCAUGCAGAGAGGUUGUUCCAUCAUGGAAAUACAUGGCUUGUGGAAAGGUCUUCUCUUUUUACCAGAGGAUGUAGCAGUCCUAUCAGAUUAGUACAUCUAGAGGUGAGAAGAAUCUCCACAAACCAUAUACACCCAUGUUGAUGCAGGGAAUCAAAAACACUAGAUAUUCAAAAUGUCUUUGCCUUAGAUUGUAGUUUCUCUUUGAAAUGCAGAACAGAGAACUGCUGCUUUCAAACACUGAAUAGGUUAUAUGAGUGACAAACCAAAGAUAUUUGAUUUAUUUAUGCAAACACAUAUUUCUUGCCAUCAGUUAAAGUCUGUGUGAAGUUAAUGUUUAAGUUGCUUGUAACCUGAAUAUAUUUUGUCAAACAGAAUUCCAUAAUUGUGAUCUUCACAAGCCAUUGCCCAGUGUAUUCAUUUAUUGAGCAUGAUAUAACAUAUAUCAGAAAUAAACCUAUACAUUCA